UACGGAGGGGGCUAGCGUUGUUCGGAAUUACUGGGCGUAAAGCGCACGUAGGCGGCUUUGUAAGUUAGAGGUGAAAGCCCGGGGCUCAACUCCGGAAUUGCCUUUAAGACUGCAUCGCUCGAAUUGUGGAGAGGUAAGUGGAAUUCCGAGUGUAGAGGUGAAAUUCGUAGAUAUCAGGAGGAAUACCGGUGGCGAAAGCGACUCUCUGGACGGCAACUGACGCUGAGGCACGAAAGCGUGGGGAGCAAACAGG
rnacentral:rRNA from 1 species